ACGAUUUAUUUAUUGAUCACAAAUUAUAAAUAUUACAAGUCACAACUUAUUAUAUAAUCACAAUUUAUCAAAUUAUCAGUCACAUAUAAAUAAUAUUUUAGAUUACAAAUUAUUUUUUGAUCACAAUUUAUAUUUUCUUAUGGAUCACAUAUUAUAUAUUGGUCAUAUAUUAACUAAUUUAUUGGUUAUAGUCAACUAAAUAAUUUGUAAUCACCAUCAACACUUGUGACUAUCAUCUUACCACUACUUCCAGCAUCACCACCACCAUCGUCGUCAACAGAACUACCACCACCAUCACUCUCACAGUACGACAACCGCACCAACAGCAACACAGCCGCACACACACCAUCACAGUUGCCAGAACCACCACCACUGCCCCAACAGAUCCAUUGACACCAACAUCUGACCAUCACUUCCGCAACCACCACCAUGACCACCAUCGCCGCAUGCACACAAACACUCCCAACACCGUAUUUGCAUCUAAAUCCUGUCAAAUCGACCUUCCUUUGGCAACAAGAGCACCGAUUCACCUCUUGCUUCACCGGCACAACCUCCAUCGAAUUCUAAUCCUCUUUCUUUAAACCCUUCAAACUGACCUUCAUCUGGCAACUACAACACUGAUUCACUUCUCGCUUCACCAGCACAACCUCCAUUGAAUUCGAAUCCUCUUUCCUCAAACCCUUCCUGAUCUCCAUGGGUUUCAAUUUCCUCUCACACGAAGACCUCGAAGACGAGAUGGAUCUAAACGAUUUUUUCGAUCCUGCUACUUUCAUGACCACAGCGGACGCGGAACCUACAAAAAUCAUUGGUCGUAGCAACACCGCAUUUAACACACAACGUGAUGAUCUACGAGACUGCUGCCGUCGGCAACGUAAGAUAAAGAAAGAGAAAGAGGAGAAGCCGGAUGUAAAGAGAGAAAUGAGGGGGAAAUUGAUUAGGUUUGGGUUGAAAAUUGUAUAUUUAAUAUUUAAAUACGAAAUAUCUGAAUUGUGAAACGUAAAACUUCCAACCUAAUUUUAGAGUAUUGAAUUUUUAAAGUAUGAUUAUGUGUAAUUUUCACUUGAUAAAAUCCCUCCAAAAUACUCACAUGGAUGGACGGUCCUAAAAUAUUGUCACAAAAUAAAUAAAUAAAUAAACAAAAAUCUACACACCCUCCCUUGUAUGUGUUCUAGAGGGGUUCUCUCAAUCCCUCCUUUACACAAAAU
rnacentral:lncRNA from 1 species